AGUAGCCGAAGAUCACACCGGGGUUCAGGGUUGGGUUGGUGAUCAAACGAACCGCACCACCACCGGGUGCCCAAGAGUCAUAAACACCGCCGACGAACAUGGCCUUGAUCACCAGCAAGAAGGCACCCAAUCCUAAAAUGAUCAGGUGGAACCCGAUGAUACUAGUCAUCUUGUUCUUGUCCUUCCA
rnacentral:antisense_RNA from 1 species